CCAUCGGUGGUUCAGUGGUAGAAUGCUCGCCUGUGCCACGCGGGCGGCCCGAAUUCGAUUUCAGGCCGAUGCA
rnacentral:tRNA from 1 species